UACUGUAGAUGGGGAUAAAGCCCCUGUAGUGCGCAUUAGGGAUAUGUUGGGGAAGGCCGUCUGGGUUACUCCUGCAUUGGUUAAAGGUAAACUCAUGCGCGGGAUUACUUUUGCCCAAGGACCUGGGUGCACUUGGUGGGUGAUGCAGAAGGAUAGAGAAGUCUAAUGGAAGAGAACUGAAGG